UUGGUGACUAUAGUACCCCUUUAAAUUUAGUGUCCUAACACUAAAUUUAAAGGGAUACUAUAGUCUUCAAA